rnacentral:rRNA from 1 species
GCUGAAAGCAUCUAAGCACGAAACCUACUCCAAGAUGAGAUCUCCCAAUUCGUAAGACCCCUUAAAGACGAUAAGGUUGAUAGGCCAGAGAUGGAAGUGUAGUGAUACAUGGAGUUGACUGGUACUAAUCGGUCGAGGACUUAAUCAG